AAUAUUCAAAUUUUGAUUUCUACAAGUCAUUAAGUGAAAGAAUUAAGCACCCUUCACGAUAUGGUUUCAAGGAAGCGAAAUCAGCAUGUUGCGGAACAGGGCCAUACAGAGGAAUCACAAGCUGUGGGGGUAUAGGAAAGAUCAAAGAGUUUGAAUUGUGCGAUGAUACGAGUGAAUAUCUGUUCUUUGAUAGUCAUCCAACGGAGAAGGCCGAUCACCAAUUUGCGAAGCUCAUGUGGAGUGGAAGUAUUAAUGUGACAAGGCCUUACAAUCUUAAACAACUAUUUCAACUCUAGGCCAAGU
rnacentral:misc_RNA from 1 species